GAUGAACGCUGGCGGUCUGCUUAACACAUGCAAGACGAACGGAAUCCUUCGGGAUUUAGUGGCGGACGGGUGAGUAACGCGUGAGAAUCUGCCUACAGGUUCGGGACAACAGCUGGAAACGGCUGCUAAUACAGGACGUGCAGAAAGGCGAAAGCUUUCGGGCCUGAAGAUGAGCUCGCGUAUGAUUAGCGAGUAGGAGUGGUAAUGGAACCCCUAGGCGAGAGUCAGGAGCUGGUCUGAGUGGAUGAAGAGCCACACUGGGACUGAGACAGGGCCCAGACUCCUACUGAAGGCAGCAGUGGGGAAUUUUCCGCAAUGGGCGCAAGCCUGACGGAGCAAGACCGCGUGAGGGAAGAAGGUCUGUGGAUUGUAAACCUCUUUUGAUGGGGAAGAAGACAGUGACGGUACCCAUCGAAUCAGCCUCGGCUAACUCCGUGCCAGCCGCCGCAGUAA
rnacentral:rRNA from 1 species